AGCUCUCCGAGUGGUGUGGACGUUUAUUGGGCCUAAAGCAUCCGUAGCUGGCUGAACAAGUCCCCUGUUAAACCCAACGAUUUAAUCGUUGGUCUGCGGGGGAUACUGCUCGGCUAGGGGACGAGAGAGGCAGACGGUAUUUCCGGGGUAGGGGUGAAAUCCUAUAAUCCCGGGAGGACCACCAGUGGCGAAGGCUGUCUGCUAGAACGCGCCCGACGGUGAGGGAUGAAAGCUGGGGGAGCGAACC
rnacentral:rRNA from 1 species